GUUAAGGUCUAUCCGUAUGAAUUGCUCACAGUCGCUAACAGAGCACAAGUGAAGCUUCCCAUGGAUGUUCAAAGAACAAGACUUGAGCGUCAUCUAUCCCCCGAUUCAUUCUUCAAGCUGUUUGGCAUGAACAUUCAACAAUUUGACAGACUUCCACUUUGGAAACGAAAUGACAUGAAGAAGAAAGCAAACCUCUUCUGAUUGCUGCCUGAUUCAUGGUUUAUACUUUGCUGUUGAUAUGCAGUUAAUUUCAGGUUUAAAUGUACCUUAUUGUUUAUUUCUUUGUAUUUGAUGUUAUAACGAGAAAUCUUUAGCCCGAGAACAGGACUAGUCAUUUCUUUUUUUACUGAGAACAUGAGAACUCAAUUUGCAUAUAGAUUUUUUUUUUCUUUAUCAGAAAUGAUGUUUACAUUGAACAAUUCAACUGUAAGUAAGGCAAAAAUAGGUGGAAUUCAUGCUAGUCAGUCUGUUACAGAUUACCUUUUGCUUACGCAAAUAUGACCCUAGCUACGGUAAAUGCUUCCAUUUCUCCUGUUCUCUAUAUUUAGUAACUUAGUUUAGUAUUUGAUUUUAAAAUAACUGUGGUUGGUUCUCAUGUCAGCCUUCCUAGACCACCAGUACUACUCCUCUUCGUAUAGUAGUCCUAUAUAAAAUAAUUUGGAUGACUGGGUGUAAUUUUGACCAUGAUGCUGUAUUUUUGUUUCUGAACUUAUUUUGUUGUCUCCUGGAUACAGAACAAUGUGUUCAAGCGUGAAGCGAGAAAAUAUUUAAGAUUUGUGUUGAUUACUGAAUGCUAAAAUGUGUUUUAUUGCACUGCUGAAAGAAUAAUGAUGGUGACUUUGGUCUUUCAUUUGUCCCCUCUCAUUUUACUGAGAAUCAGCUGUGGUAAACGUUGUAAAUACUGUACAUACCUUGACCUCGCUGCUCCUGCAUCACCACCUCAAGCGCCCUAAAUAAAAUCUUGCAAUUCUUAUGA